rnacentral:rRNA from 1 species
GUAGGUGGCAAGCGUUGUCCGGAACUAUUGGGCGUAAAGCGCGCGCAGGCGGUUCUUUAAGUCUGAUGUGAAAGCCCACGGCUCAACCGUGGAGGGUCAUUGGAAACUGGAGAACUUGAGUACAGAAGAGGAAAGCGGAAUUCCACGUGUAGCGGUGAAAUGCGUAGAGAUGUGGAGGAACACCAGUGGCGAAGGCGGCUUUCUGGUCUGUAACUGACGCUGAGGCGCGAAAGCGUGGGGAGCAAACAGGGAUUAGAUACCCUGGUAGUCCACGCCGUAAACGAUGAGUGCUAAGUGUUAGGGGGUUUCCGCCCCCUUAGUGCUGCAGCUAACGCAUUAAGCACUCCGCCUGGGGAGUACGGCCGCAAGGCUG